rnacentral:rRNA from 1 species
AUUGAACGCUGGCGGCAGGCCUAACACAUGCAAGUCGAACGGUAACAGGAAACAGCUUGCUGUUUCGCUGUCGAGUGGCGGACGGGUGAGUAAUGUCUGGGAAACUGCCUGAUGGAGGGGGAUAACUACUGGAAACGGUAGCUAAUACCGCAUAACGUCGCAAGACCGAAGAGGGGGACCUUCGGGCCUCUUGCCAUCGGAUGUGCCCAGAUGGGAUUAGUUAGUAGGUGGGGUAACGGCUCACCUAGGCGACGAUCCCUAGCUGGUCUGAGAGGAUGACCAGCCACACUGGAACUGAGACACGGUCCAGACUCCUACGGGAGGCAGCAGUGGGGAAUAUUGCACAAUGGGCGCAAGCCUGAUGCAGCCAUGCCGCGUGUAUGAAGAAGGCCUUCGGGUUGUAAAGUACUUUCAGCGGGGAGGAAGGGAGUAAAGUUAAUACCUUUACUCAUUGACGUUACCCGCAGAAGAAGCACCGGCUAACUCCGUG